UCUGAUCCAGCCAUGCCGCGUGCAGGAAGACUAGCCCUAUGGGUUGUAAACUGCUUUUAUCCGGGAAUAAACCUCAUUACGUGUAAUGAGCUGAAUGUACCGGAAGAAUAAGGAUCGGCUAACUCCGUGCCAGCAGCCGCGGUAAUACGGAGGAUCCAAGCGUUAUCCGGAUUUAUUGGGUUUAAAGGGUGCGUAGGCGGCCUGUUAAGUCAGGGGUGAAAGACGGUAGCUCAACUAUCGCAGUGCCCUUGAUACUGAUGGGCUUGAAUGGACUAGAGGUAGGCGGAAUGAGACAAGUAGCGGUGAAAUGCAUAGAUAUGUCUCAGAACACCGAUUGCGAAGGCAGCUUACUAUGGUCUUAUUGACGCUGAGGCACGAAAGCGUUGGGAUCAAACAGGAUUAGAUACCCUGGUAGUCCACGCCCUAAACGAUGAACACUCGCUGUUGGCGAUACACAGUCAGCGGCUAAGCGAAAGCGUUAAGUGUUCCACCUGGGGAGUACGCCCGCAAGGGUGAAACUCAAAGGAAUUGACGGGGGCCCGCACAAGCGGAGGAGCAUGUGGUUUAAUUCGAUGAUACGCGAGGAACCUUACCCGGGCUUGAAAGUUAGUGAAUGAUCCAGAGAUGGAUCA
rnacentral:rRNA from 1 species